rnacentral:tRNA from 1 species
GGGGUAUCGCCAAGCGGUAAGGCACCGGUUUUUGAUACCGGCAUUCCCUGGUUCGAAUCCAACGAUCUACG